rnacentral:ncRNA from 1 species
UAAAGGCUUGGUCCUGACUUUAACAUUAACUUUGACUAGACUUACACAUGCAAGCUUCCACACCCCUGUGAAAAUGCUCUCACCACUCUUAUAGAACAUGAGAAGCUGGUAUCAGGCACACCAUGUAGCCCAAGACGCCUUGCACAGCCACACCUCCAAAGGAAUUCAGCAGUGAUAAAUAUUAAGCAAUAAGUGAAAACUUGACUUAGCCAAAGUCACCUAAGGCCGGUAAAACUCGUGCCAGCUACCGCGGUUAGACGAGAGACCUGAGUUAAUGUUCCACGGUAUAGAGUGUGGUUAAAGAGAACACAACUAGAGUCGAAAAUUUUUUAAAUUGUUAUAAGUAAAUGAAAACAUGAAGCACUAACACGAAAGUAACUCUAAACUACCUGAAACCACGACAGUUUUAACACAAACUGGGAUUAGAUACCCCACUAUGUUUUACCGUAAACUCAGAUAAUAAAACAUAAUUAUUAUUCACCAGGGUACUAUGAGCCUAAGCUUAAAACCCAAAGGACUUGGCGGUGCUUUAUACCCCCUAGAGGAGCCUGUUCUAGAAUUGAUGGUCCCCGCUUAACCUCACCACUCCUAGCCUUCAUCCGCCUAUAUACCGCCGUCAUCAGUUUACCCUAUGAAGGGAUACAAGUAAGCAAAAUAAGUAAAACUUAAAAUGUCAGGUCAAGGUGUAGCAUAUGAAGUGGGAAGAAAUGGGCUACAUUCCUUUUAUCAAGGCAUCGCGAAAGACGCUGUGAAAUCAGCCCAGAAGAUGGAUUUAGUAGUAAAAAGAAAAUAGAGAGUUCUUUUGAAAUAGGCCCUAAAGCACGUACACACCGCCCGUCACCCUCCUCAAAAACCUUUAAAAAUAUAAACAAAAAAAUUAUACUACAAGAGGAGGUAAGUCGUAACAAGGUAAGUGUACCGGAAGGUGCACUUGAAAUCACC